rnacentral:rRNA from 1 species
GGUCUCUUCGGAGAUAGUGGCGGACGGGUGAGUAACGCGUGAGAAUCUGCCUUUAGGUUGGGGACAACAGUUGGAAACGACUGCUAAUACCGAAUGAGCUGAAAAGUAAAAGAUUAAUUGCCUAAAGAUGAGCUCGCGUCCGAUUAGCUAGUUGGUGGGGUAAAAGCUUACCAAGGCGACGUUCGGUAGCUGGUCUGAGAGGAUGAUCAGCCACACUGGGACUGAGACACGGCCCAGACUCCUACGGGAGGCAGCAGUGGGGAAUUUUCCGCAAUGGGCGAAAGCCUGACGGAGCAACGCCGCGUGAGGGAGGAAGGCUUUUGGGUUGUAAACCUCUUUUCUCAAGGAAGAUAAUGACGGUACUUGAGGAAUCAGCAUCGGCUAACUCCGUGCCAGCAGCCGCGGUAAUACGGAGGAUGCAAGCGUUAUCCGGAAUAAUUGGGCGUAAAGCGUUCGUAGGUGGUUGUGCAAGUCUGCUGUUAAAGCGUGUAGCUUAACUACAUAUAGGCAGUGGAAACUGCACAACUAGAGUGCGUUCAGGGCAGAGGGAAUUCCUGGUGUAGCGGUGAAAUGCGUAGAGAUCACGAAGAACACCGGUGGCCGUAAAGCGCUCUGCUAGCCCGCACUGACACUGAGGGACGAAAGCUAGGAGGAGCGAAUGGGAUUAGAUACCUCCAGUAGUCCUAGCUGUAAACGAUGGAUACUAGGCGUUGCUUGUAUCGCACCGAGCAGUGCCGUAGCUAACGCGUUAAGUAUCCCGCCUGGGGAGUACGCACGCAAGUGUGAAACUCAAAGGAAUUGACGGGGCACCCGCACAAGCGGUGGAGUGUGUGGUUUAAUUCGAUGCAACGCGAAGAACCUUACCAAGGCUUGUCAUGUCCGGAACCUUUGUGGAAGCAGAGGGUGCCUUCGGGAGCCGGAACACAGGUGGUGCAUGGCUGUCGUCAGCUCGUGUCGUGAGAUGUUGGGUUAAGUCCCGCAACGAGCGCAACCCUCGUUCUUAGUUGCCAGCAUUUCGGAUGGGCACUCUAGGGAGACUGCCGGUGACAAACCGGAGGAAGGUGGGGAUGACGUCAAGUCAUCAUGCCCCUUACGCCUUGGGCUACACACGUACUACAAUGCUGUGGACAAAGAGCAGCCAACCAGCGAUGGAGCGCUAAUCUCAUAAACCACGGCUCAGUUCAGAUCGCAGGCUGCAACUCGCCUGCGUGAAGUAGGAAUCGCUAGUAACUGCAGGUCAGCAUACUGCAGUGAAUUCGUUCCCGGCCCUUGUACACACCGCCCCUCACACCAUGGAAGUUGUCACGCCCGAAGUCAUUACCCUAACCGGAAAGGAGGGGGAUGCCGAAGGUAGGACUAAUGACUGGGGUGAAGUCGUAACAAGGUAGCCGUACCGGAAGGUGUGGCUGGAUCACCUCCUUU